GCAUUUUCUGGAGAACGGGGUUCAUAGUGGCGAUCGCGGGUUAUCGUCAGGCGACUGGGGUCCAAAUCGGAGAAUGGGGUCCAUUUAUUUUGGCAAAUAGGAGAAUGGGGUUCAAAUGCAGAGAUCUGAGGGUCGUUUGCGCAGAGAAAAUUUCGGGGUUCAAGAAAAUGAAAAAGAGCGGAGAAAAUUUCGGGGUUCAAGAAAAGAAAAAGAAAU
rnacentral:lncRNA from 1 species